UGUACGGCUGCUCCGUAGUAAUCACGACCGGCAACAAAAUGCCUUGAACCGAGCUUGGAGUGAGCCAACAUCUGUCGAGCAUUGACACCAUUGUCCUCGGCGAACAUCACCCAUUGACGCUUCCGAUCGACAUUUGCUAGAAAACUAAUACAAUCAUCGUAUCAUGAAUAGUUGUGUUAUAAUAUGUCAAAAGUAAUCGUAAUAAGUACGUAUACAUUAUAUAAAUACUCAUGCACUGAAACGCCAUCCACGCCUUCGACGUUGCCACAAAUCAUACAAUGUUUGACCAUUGUUAUAUUUGCCUGAAAAGAUAAAUAAUAACAUUUUGAAAAGAAAUGCAGUAAAUAUUAUUUGUUCACGGGUGACGUCCGC